rnacentral:lncRNA from 1 species
UGAGACCAGACCUUUUUCUUCUGGAAAAAUCAGAAAUUUGUAUUGAUGAAAAAAAAAAGUUGUUCUGGGCCAAAAACAUCAAUCAGCCUCAUCUCCAGAGUGAUCCUCCAAACUCAGGGAGAAUUGAAGUGAAUGACAGUUCCUGUUUCUCAACAUCAUUGUCAGCAUUUGGUGCUGUCAGUGUUCUAGAUUUUGACCAUUAUAAAGUCAUCCUCCUUAGCCACCUCUGAUGAACGCAUUGAAGAGGAUGACCUGCUUGGUUAUUCUGCUUCCCGAAUACAAAAAAUUAGGCUUCUGAAAUCAAACAUAAGAAGUCAUUGUUGCUUUUAUUCCAGAGACUAGGUCUCACUGUGUUUCCCAGGCAGGUCUCUAACUACUGGGCUCAAGUGAUCUGUCUGCUGCAGCCUCCCAAAGUGACGGGAUUAGAGGCAUUAGCAACCCCAACCAGCCUCAACCAAGGUUAAAUCUUAAUAAUGGCUUUUUUAUACUUUUUAGACAAUAUACUUUUUAUAAUUUUCUGUUUCUAAUUUAUUUUUCUAACAAGAAUACAUUACCGUUAUAGUCUUGAAGUGCUCAUUAAAUUUUAUAAAAUAAAUGUUAAUAAGCAUAA